GAUGAACGCUGGCGGCGUGCCUAAUACAUGCAAGUAGAACGCUGAAGGAGGAGCUUGCUCUUCUGGAUGAGUUGCGAACGGGUGAGUAACGCGUAGGUAACCUGCCUGGUAGCGGGGGAUAACUAUUGGAAACGAUAGCUAAUACCGCAUGACAACAGUUAUUGCAUGAUAACUGUUUAAAAGGGGCAACUGCUCCACUACCAGAUGGACCUGCGUUGUAUUAGCUAGUUGGUGAGGUAACGGCUCACCAAGGCGACGAUACAUAGUCGACCUGAGAGGGGGAUCGGCCACACUGGGACUGGGACACGGCCCAGACUCCUACGGGAGGCAGCAGUAGGGAAUCUUCGGGAAUGGACGGAAGUCUGACCGAGCAACGCCGCGUGAGUGAAGAAGGUUUUCGGAUCGUAAAGCUCUGUUGUAAGAGAAGAACGAGUGUGGGAGUGGAAAGUUCACACUGUGACGGUAUCUUACCAGAAAGGGACGGCUAACUACGUG
rnacentral:rRNA from 1 species